UGGGGAAUCUUGCGCAAUGGGCGAAAGCCUGACGCAGCGACGCCGCGUGUGCGAUGAAGGUCUUCGGAUCGUAAAGCACUGUCGCGAGGGAAAAAGAAAGUGAUGGUACCUCGAGAGGAAGCACCGGCUAACUCUGUGCCAGCAGCCGCGGUAAUACAGAGGGUGCGAGCGUUGUUCGGAAUUAUUGGGCGUAAAGCGCUGGUAGGUGGCUGGACAAGUCGCGUGUGAAAGCUCCCGGCUCAACCGGGAAAGUGCGCGCGAAACUGUGCAACUUGAGUGCCGGAGAGGGUCGCGGAAUUCCCGGUGUAGAGGUGAAAUUCGUAGAUAUCGGGAGGAACACCAGAGGCGAAGGCGGCGACCUGGAAGGUAACUGACACUGAGCAGCGAAAGCGUGGGGAGCAAACAGGAUUAGAUACCCCGGUAGUCC
rnacentral:rRNA from 1 species